rnacentral:lncRNA from 1 species
AUUAGAUUCCUCAUGAAAUCUCUUUUCAUAUAUACCUAUUUGAGUCAUACAUGUUGAUACUAUUUCCUAAAAACUAAGUUAAACUUAAGAUAGUUUAACAUUGAUCAGGUCCAUUUUUUUGGGAGAGAGGUAGUAAAUACUUUAGCUUUAUACUCAUCCUUAGUUAUAUUUUUUAACAAAUAAUCUAUCAACUUACUCUUUUCUUUCCACAUGAAUAAAUCAACUUUAUACAAUACACUAGAAGCUAUGUCAAUGCAACUAAAAAUGAUUAAAAGGUACUAAUCGUCCAAAAGGCUUUUAUAAUGAGGUGAUUGUUUUCUGCACCACAAAAAUAGGCUUUAUUUCCUUAUUAAAUUUGGAAGUGGAUUUGUUUAUUUGCACUAGUUUUACUCGAUCUGACCCGCUUUCCUAUCAUUUAUAUCAACUCUAAUGCUCAAAGUCCAUAAUAUCAUAUUGAACCAUAUUAGUUUAUAUUGAUAAGCUAAUAAUGAUCAUAUUUCCCUUGAGUUCACUUAUGGGAAACAACUAAAAGGAAAAAAAAUCUUGUAGUAAUAGGCUAAUGUCGUAUUUACUCAGCAGCUUCAAAUAGAAUUAGAUUAUCGAGCACCGACAUAUCAAACUCUUCAAAUCUUUGAAAUUGGCAUUCUCCUUCUCAAUGACAUCUUCUCGAACUCCUUGCCACUCUCUUCACUUCUUCAACCAAUUGAAGGUAGAACAUGUUUGAUUGUAAGCAAAGGUUUGGCCACUCUCUGUGCUUCUCUUUCUUUAAUAUCACCUAACCAACAAAUGGACCACAUUAGUGGUGCAUUAAGGGUAGAUAUAGUGUCAAGGUAGGGCAUGCAAAGAGAAAAAAAAAGAAUAAAAGAAAUGGAGGAUUAGAUGAGCACCCCUACCCAUCUCGCAUGCAUCUACCAUUGGGUAAAAUUGAACCAAAACAUCGCCAAAUCAAGCUCAUAUGUGGCAAAUCAAAGCAAAUAGUGUUUUGUUUGAGACAUGAACACCCAAACCUAAGUUGUAUAUCAAAAGAUAGGCAUAAACGAUGAAGCUAAGAGGGUUACACAUAGCGCAAUAGAUCCCUUUUCCUUUUUGAAGGGGUUGCUUCUUGUUACUGUCGGUGUUUUGUAUGUAUACGUGUUGCUCGGUGCUACUAUAGUGCAUACUUUCAUAUCAUAAUUUUUUUAAAAGCAAACAUUGAUGAUAGGAUUAGGAUG